CAUGGUAUUUUCUGUUUAAGAGCUAAACUAAAUUAUGUACUAGAGAGUGAUUUUUUUGAGGAACUGCAACGUGUUUUAUUCUUUAUGAAAUAGAAAUGAAAUGUGGUGAAACCACAGGGCAUGUCGUUUGGCUGUAAAAGAGGGUUGUUUCCCCAAAUUUGAAUAAAAGUGCGGGUUUAUUUGAAUAAAAGUGCGGGUUUUACUCUUGUUUUUUUAAGAAGAAGAUAGAUAAUUUGGUACGAAAGCCUUUCUAGCUUCGCUUGUGCGGUUGGGAGAGCACGGGCUCAGAAAGGAAGGAAGAUAGGUACUUCAAUUUAAAGAAAACCUAUUGGUGUAUAUCGAUUUAAAUAAUCGUUGUAUUGUCAACCUUAAUGCUUGCUAUCCCUACUCAAUUUCAAGGUGCAUCGUGUUUUGACUAGUUUUAGUGACAUGGAUCUUCAGAAAGAAAAAGAACGCGACCGCUCGAGACGCGGUGAUAGGCCAUCGAGGUUCUCAGACGCCAACAGAGACCGGUCGUCAGACCGAGAUCGCACCGAGAGCAGGCGCUUAUUUGUAUCAAACAUACCAUACGAAUUUCGUUGGACGGAACUGAAAGAUUUGUUCAAAGAGAAAGUUGGAGAUGUGGCUUAUGUAGAAUUGUUGACCGAUGACAGUGGAAAAGCAAGAGGAUGUGGUAUUGUUGAAUUUACAAACACAGAGGCAAUGAAGAAGGCACUAUUUGUGAUGCAUCGGUAUGAGUUGAAUGGACGAAAACUUGUUCUAAAAGAAGAAACUGGAAAUGAAAGAAGAAUGCACACUUCUAGACCACAACAUAGAGAAGGGAGAAAUAAUAGAGAUGACAAAGACAAUUGGGGAAUUAAUAAGCCAAGAGAACCAGAGAAUUUAAACACAUAUGGAUUAAGUUUACAAUUUUUGGAAUCUAUCAAUGUUCAACCUCCUUUAGUGAAGAAAGUGUUUGUGGCAAAUCUGGAUUACAAAGCUGACCAAGCCAAAAUUAAGGAGGUAUUUAAAAUGGCUGGUAAAGUACGUAACAUUGAUUUGGCUGUUGAUAAAGACGGUAAUAGUAGAGGAUUUGCUGUCAUUGAGUAUGACCACCCAGUUGAAGCAGUACAGGCUAUUUCAAUGUUUGAUAAACAAAUGUUGUAUGAACGAAGAAUGACAGUACGUAUGGACAGAGGAGUAACAGACAAGGGAGAACUUAGGUUACCUGAAGGCUUAAAAGGAAUCGGCAUGGGACUAGGACCGAAUGGCGAGCCUUUACGUGACGUAGCUAGAAAUUUACCACAGGCUAACAACACAACUAACAUGAACUUGGCCAAUACAGCACCUACUAUAGGUGCUGGAGUUUUGGGUGCAGUUCCAACAGCGGCUGGUGUUGCAUUGAAUGGUUUAGGAUCUGGAUUGUCUGCGAAUGCUUUGAAUGCCAACAGUGCUCUUGGUGGAGGCUUAGGCCUACAGGCAUUGGGAUUGACUGGCUUAGGCGCACUCCAAAACCAGUUACUCCAACAAGGUUUGACAGCUAACGAUUUAGCAACAGUUCUAACAGCACAGGCAAAUGUGAACCAAGCAGCUAGUUUGGGGAUCGGAAACAAUGAAAUGAAUUCUAAUGUUCUUACUUCUGGAGUUAUGGGUGGCAAUCAGAUGAAUUCUGGACCUCUUUCGAACAUUUCAGGUACAAGCAGACCGUUGGGUGUUUCAGUACCGAACCAGGGAUAUGGCCGCGACACUGGAGUCCAACAAUCCACUAGGGACAAACCAUCAGACAUGGUCAUAAUUACCAAUUUACCACAGACAGUGACUUGGCAAUUGAUUAGAGAGAAGUUCAGUGAAUGUGGCGAUGUUAAGUUCGCUGAAAUGACUGCUCCAGAUACGGCCAUCGUUCGAUUCCACAAGGAAUGGGAUGCGGAGAGAGCUAUAAAAAUGUUCGACAGGACUCGUAUCGACGGCCGCACAAUCGAUGUGCGCUACUUUUAAACGCUAAGGUAACGUUAAUCUGAAAGGAAAUAUAAUUGUGAAAGACUUAAACGCAUAGUCUUCGUAUGGAAACUGGGAAUUAUAUAUGUGCCUUUGUAAUUAGUCGAUUGCUUUUCUUUUCUGGAAGUGUGAGAAGAGAAGGAGAGAAGAGAGUUUGAGCCUAAUUAGAGUUCCAGAAAACAUGAGAACGAGAAAAGAAAAAGUGUGCAAAUAAAUUAUGUAUUGAAAAACCUGUGAUACGUGAAGCUUUAAUAAAAUAAAUAUUUUUUUAUCUA